GCUCUCGUUCGUCCUUCCACUCUCGCUACUAUAGCUCUCGCUCAUACCGAAUAUUGAAAUCUUCACAGUAUUGAAAGCUCUCGCUCAUACCUCCACUCUCGCUCAUACCGGAUAUUGAAAUCCUCACAGUAUUGAAAGCUCUCGCUCAUACCUCCACUCUUGCUCUCGCACAUAAAUUCCCCUCUCGUUUGACUUGUAUAAGAGUCAAACGAGAUAUCUAUCUACUGAUGCUCGUAAACUGGAUGAAAUAUCUAUCCCAUUCGGCUUCCAUCUAUCGUUAAAUCUUUGUCUUCAACUCAAAAACAUUGCGUCAAACAUGUCAGUUUAAAUCACCAAGAUGUACUGCAUUUGGUAUUGUGAUUUAUCCUUCUAGGAACUCAAGCACAAUGAAAUGUUGGAAGCGGGAGCUUAUCCUACAAACUAUAUGCUCGGAAUCGUGUUGAAUGCUUGUUGUUCCUUGCAAUCUACCGAAUUCGGGAAGCAGGUGUUUGGAAGGGGUGGGGAGGAUAUGGAUUUCUUGUAACAACAAGGAAUUCACAUAAAAAUUGUUCCUGGAAACAUUAUUUGAUCCAUAUGCUUUGGGUUGUGGGCAUCUCUUCUACAAAUCAUGUGUUUGUUUAGCUGCUUCAGUGAUGAUUUGUGAUGGACCGAAGGCUGCCAGCCAGGAGUCUCAAUGUCUGGUUUGUAGAGAGG